CAGCAGCCGCGGUAAUACGUAGGGUGCAAGCGUUAAUCGGAAUUACUGGGCGUAAAGCGUGCGCAGGCGGUCCGCUAAGACAGAUGUGAAAUCCCCGGGCUCAACCUGGGAACUGCAUUCGUGACUGGCAAGCUAGAGUAUGGCAGAGGGGGGUGGAAUUCCGCGUGUAGCAGUGAAAUGCGUAGAUAUGCGGAGGAACACCGAUGGCGAAGGCAGCCCCCUGGGCCAAUACUGACGCCCAUGCACGAAAGCGUGGGGAGCAAACAGGAUUAGAUACCCCUGUAGUCCCUGUCUCUUAUAA
rnacentral:rRNA from 1 species